ensembl:lncRNA
CGUGAAUGUGUAAGAAAGAAAGAAAGUCUUCCCUGUUCUGUGAGAACCACAUUAAGAGUAACAAUGACUGCAUAGUACAACACACCAUCAGUUUCCCAUCUUAUAAAAGUUGUACCGGAAUCUGACUUGACUCUGACCGGACUCUGACCGGACUCUGACCGGACUCUGACCGGACAUGGGCAAAGACCCUCCUACCCCGGACACCAGACUUCAAACCUCCUACCCCGGGGGCCAGACCAACCCUCCUACCCCGGGGGCCAGACUACAACCCUCCUUCUCCAGAGGCCAGACUCCAACCCUCCUAUUCCAGACUCCAACCCUCCUACUCCAGAGGCCAGACUCCAACCCUCCUACUCCAGAGGCCAGACUCCAACCCUCCUAUUCCAGACUCCAACGCUCCUAUUCCAGAGGCCAGACUCCAACCCUCCUAUUCCAGACUCCAACCCUCCUAUUCCAGACUCCAACCCUCCUAUUCCAGAGGCCAGAC